rnacentral:rRNA from 1 species
AGAGUUUGAUCCUGGCUCAGGACGAACGCUGGCGGCGUGCUUAACACAUGCAAGUCGAACGGAAAGGCCCUCACCUUGGUGGGGGUGCUCGAGUGGCGAACGGGUGAGUAACACGUGGGUGAUCUGCCCUGUACUUCGGGAUAAGCUUGGGAAACUGGGUCUAAUACCGGAUAGGACCAUGGUUUAGUGUCUCAUGGUGGAAAAAUUAUUGUUUUGGUGCAGGAUGAGCUCGCGGCCUAUCAGCUUGUUGGUGGGGUAAUGGCCUACCAAGGCGUCGACGGGUAGCCGGCCUGAGAGGGUGGACGGCCACAUUGGGACUGAGAUACGGCCCAGACUCCUACGGGAGGCAGCAGUGGGGAAUAUUGCACAAUGGGCGCAAGCCUGAUGCAGCGACGCCGCGUGGGGGAUGACGGCCUUCGGGUUGUAAACUCCUUUCGUUAGGGACGAAGCCACACUUUUUUUGGGUGUGGUGACGGUACCUUUGUUAAGAAGCACCGGCUAACUACGUGCCAGCAGCCGCGGUAAUACGUAGGGUGCGAGCGUUGUCCGGAAUUACUGGGCGUAAAGAGCUCGUAGGUGGUUUGUUGCGUCGUCUGUGAAAUUCCGGGGCUUAACUUCGGGGUGGCAGGCGAUACGGGCAUAACUAGAGUGCUGUAGGGGAGACUGGAAUUCCUGGUGUAGCGGUGGAAUGCGCAGAUAUCAGGAGGAACACCGAUGGCGAAGGCAGGUCUCUGGGCAGUAACUGACGCUGAGGAGCGAAAGCAUGGGGAGCGAACAGGAUUAGAUACCCUGGUAGUCCAUGCCGUAAACGUUGGGCACUAGGUGUGGGGGACAUUCCACGUUUUCCGCGCCGUAGCUAACGCAUUAAGUGCCCCGCCUGGGGAGUACGGCCGCAAGGCUAAAACUCAAAGGAAUUGACGGGGGCCCGCACAAGCGGCGGAGCAUGUGGAUUAAUUCGAUGCAACGCGAAGAACCUUACCUGGGUUUGACAUGCACCAGACGGUUGUAGAGAUACGUACCUCCCUUUGUGGUUGGUGUGCAGGUGGUGCAUGGUUGUCGUCAGCUCGUGUCGUGAGAUGUUGGGUUAAGUCCC